UACAAAGAAAAAAACAAGGUACCAGAGAGUGGUUUAGUUUUUGGAGUGGGGGCAGGAGAGGGUGAGCGAGGACCUGGAAUGCAGCAUUAAAGGAUGACCAACGCACUAGAAUAGAAAACGCAAGAGGGUUGGCGAAUAAAGGAAGAGAUAGAAUGGAGGUAGAGUGGGUGUGUAAGGAGCUUAGACAAUGAAAGUUUCAAAGGGAAGCCUUUCGAGUGCGGCAAAGAGGAUCAGCGAGUUACAAGCAUGGGGUCAAUGCGCUGUAUGUUAAACGCUACAAUAGAGGAAGUAAUGGCUGAGCUUAAAAAUAAAGAAUCGGUUCAAUAUAGAUAUUGGAAAAUGAUAACAUGAGGGCUGUAGAGGAUGCACAACAUACUGCACAGAGUGUUAUGGAUGUGUGGUAUGAAAAUUAGGUAAACCAAGUAAAGAAUGGGUGAGGUGUUAGAUGGCACUAGUGAUGGAUGGAGGGGGAGAUGUGAUCAUGUUGAAGCUGGUGGAAGAACUGGCAGAGGGGGAAAUAUGAUGCUAUGGAGAGCAUAUGAUCAGUCUAAAAUCGAGAUGCUAUAGAUGAGUGGCCCAGGGACGCAGGAGGCCGGGACGAGUGCAAUAUUGGAAGGGGACAGAACAACAGUGCACAGCAUCCCGAUCCUUCUGUAUCCCCAGAAACCCAUGGCUCGUUCUUCACAUCCUGCAUCAUGUAACUCAGAACAGAUAUUACAGGUUCCACUGCCAUGUAAAAUAAGUAGC